rnacentral:rRNA from 1 species
CUAGGAUGAACGCUAGCUACAGGCUUAACACAUGCAAGUCGAGGGGCAGCAUGAAGUUGCUUGCAAACUUUGAUGGCGACCGGCGCACGGGUGAGUAACGCGUAUCCAACCUUCCCCUUAGUAGGGCAUAGCCCGAUGAAAAUCGGAUUAAUACCCUAUGUUGUCUUAUGAGGACAUCUGAGCAGGACCAAAGGUUUACCGCUAAGGGAUGGGGAUGCGUCCGAUUAGGUAGUCGGCGGGGUAACGGCCCACCGAGCCAUCGAUCGGUAGGGGUUCUGAGAGGAAGGUCCCCCACAUUGGAACUGAGACACGGUCCAAACUCCUACGGGAGGCAGCAGUGAGGAAUAUUGGUCAAUGGGCGAGAGCCUGAACCAGCCAAGUAGCGUGCAGGAUGACGGCCCUAUGGGUUGUAAACUGCUUUUAUGCGGGGAUAAAGUGCGCCACGUGUGGCGUUUUGUAGGUACCGCAUGAAUAAGGACCGGCUAAUUCCGUGCCAGCCGCCGC